GUGUCAGCAGCCGCGGUAAUACGUAGGGGCCGAGCGUUGUCCGGAGUUAUUGGGCGUAAAGCGCGCGCAGGCGGCUUGGCGCGCCCGACGUGAAAGCCCCCGGCUUAACCGGGGAGGGUCGUCGGGUACGGCCAGGCUUGAGGGCGGGAGAGGGUGGUGGAAUUCCCGGUGUAGUGGUGAAAUGCGUAGAGAUCGGGAGGAACACCUGUGGCGAAGGCGGCCACCUGGGCCGACCCUGACGCUGAGGCGCGAAGGCGUGGGGAGCGAACGGGAUUAGAUACCCUCGUAGUCC
rnacentral:rRNA from 1 species